rnacentral:rRNA from 1 species
GUGAGGAAUAUUGGACAAUGGAGGAAACUCUGAUCCAGCCAUGCCGCGUGAGUGAUGAAGGCCUUCGGGUUGUAAAGCUCUUUCGGGUGUGAAAAUGAUGAUGGUAACACCAGAAGAAGCCCCGGCUAACUCCGUGCCAGCAGCCGCGGUAAUACGGAGGGGGCGAGCGUUGUUCGGAAUCACUGGGCGUAAAGCGUGCGUAGGCGGUUAUACAAGUCAGGAGUGAAAUCCCAGGGCUCAACCUUGGAAUUGCUUUUGAGACUGUAUGACUAGAGAUCUAGAGAGGUUGGGGGAAUUCCGAGUGUAGAGGUGAAAUUCGCAGAUAUUCGGAGGAACACCAGUGGCGUAGGCGCCCAACUGGCUAGAUACUGACGCUGAGGCACGAAAGCGUGGGGAGCAAACAGGAUUAGAAACCCCUGUAGUCC